UACGUAGGGUGCGAGCGUUAAUCGGAAUCACUGGGCGUAAAGCGCACGUAGGCGGAUUGCUAAGUCAGGGGUGAAAUCCUGGAGCUCAACUCCAGAACUGCCUUUGAUACUGGGGAUCUCGAGUCCGGAAGAGGUGAGUGGAACUCCGAGUGUAGAGGUGAAAUUCGUAGAUAUUCGGAAGAACACCUGCGGCGAAGGCGGGUUGCUGGGCUGACACUGACGCUGGAGGCGCGAAAGCCUAGGGGAGCGAACGGG
rnacentral:rRNA from 1 species